AACGCGAAGAACCUUACCUAGGCUCGAACGGCUGGUCAACGGCGGUGGAAACAUCGCUACCCCGCAAGGGGGUCCAGUCGAGGUGCUGCAUGGCUGUCGUCAGCUCGUGUCGUGAGAUGUUGGGUUAAGUCCCGCAACGAGCGCAACCCUUGUCCUGUGUUGCCAUACCGAAAGGUGGAACUCGCAGGAGACCGCCAGCGAUAAGCUGGAGGAAGGUGGGGAUGACGUCAAGUCCUCAUGGCCUUUAUGUCUAGGGCUACACACGUGCUACAAUGGACGGUACAAAGCGUCGCUAACCCGCGAGGGGGAGCCAAUCGCAAAAAACCGUCCCAGUUCAGAUUGCACUCUGCAACUCGGGUGCAUGAAGGUGGAAUCGCUAGUAAUCGCAGAACAGCAGGCUGCGGUGAAUACGUUCCCGGGUCUUGUACACACGC
rnacentral:rRNA from 1 species